AUUGAACGCUGGCGGCAGGCCUAACACAUGCAAGUCGAGCGGAUGAAGAGAGCUUGCUCUCUGAUUCAGCGGCGGACGGGUGAGUAAUGCCUAGGAAUCUGCCUGGUAGUGGGGGACAACGUUUCGAAAGGAACGCUAAUACCGCAUACGUCCUACGGGAGAAAGCAGGGGACCUUCGGGCCUUGCGCUAUCAGAUGAGCCUAGGUCGGAUUAGCUAGUAGGUGGGGUAAAGGCUCACCUAGGCGACGAUCCGUAACUGGUCUGAGAGGAUGAUCAGUCACACUGGAACUGAGACACGGUCCAGACUCCUACGGGAGGCAGCAGUGGGGAAUAUUGGACAACGGGCGAAAGCCUGAUCCAGCCAUGCCGCGUGUGUGAAGAAGGUCUUCGGAUUGUAAAGCACCUUAAGUUGGGAGGAAGGGCAGUAAGCUAAUACCUUGCUGUUUUGACGUUACCAACAGAAUAAGCACCGGCUAACUUCGUGCCAGCCGCCGCAGUAACAC
rnacentral:rRNA from 1 species